CCUGUCUUUCCCUCAUAACGGUUUGAUGUUGCUCAGAGAAACGAGGACAAUCUGAUGUUUCAUUGUCUUCUGCAGGAAAAGUGCAUUGUCUCCACAUACCACAUACCAACAAUCAUGAAAUGCCUGGAAAGACUGAUCCUUAGGCACAGCAAUGCUGCUCUCCCACCCACCCUGGAUGCACAACAUCAGACCCAACAACCAACAGACGAUGCCAUUGCCACUGUCCUCCAUACUGUAUCAGACAAUCACAUUGAUUGGGACUUGUCCUUUAACAAAAAAAAAUCAGGCACAUCCUGUCUCAAAGCGAUGCAGAAAAACUGGUUCAUCCGUUUGUUAC